CACGCAGGCGGCUUGUUAAGUCAGAUGUGAAAGCCCCGGGCUCAACCUGGGAACUGCAUUUGAUACUGGCUCGCUAGAGUAUGGUAGAGGGAAGUGGAAUUCCGGGUGUAGCGGUGAAAUGCGUAGAUAUCCGGAGGAACAUCAGUGGCGAAGGCGACUUCCUGGACCAAUACUGACGCUGAGGUGCGAAAGCGUGGGGAGCAAACA
rnacentral:rRNA from 1 species